GCCAGACUCCUACGGGAGGCAGCAGUGGGGAAUAUUGGGCAAUGGGCGAAAGCCUGACCCAGCAACGCCGCGUGAAGGAAGAAGGCUUUCGGGUUGUAAACUUCUUUUGACAGGGAAGAGCAGAAGACGGUACCUGUCGAAUAAGCCACGGCUAACUACGUGCCAGCAGCCGCGGUAAUACGUAGGUGGCAAGCGUUAUCCGGAUUUACUGGGUGUAAAGGGCGUGUAGGCGGGGACGCAAGUCAGAUGUGAAAACCACGGGCGCAACCUGUGGCCUGCAUUUGAAACUGUGUUUCUUGAGUACUGGAGGGGCAGACGGAAUUCCUAGUGUAGCGGUGAAAUGCGUAGAUAUUAGGAGGAACACCAGUGGCGAAGGCGGUCUGCUGGACAGCAACUGACGCUGAGGCGCGAAAGCGUGGGGAGCAAACAGGAUUAGAUACCCCAGUACAA
rnacentral:rRNA from 1 species